rnacentral:misc_RNA from 1 species
UUUUUUUUUUCCUGUUAAGUUGUUUCUUCUUUAGAUUAUCUUUUCAUCAACCCCUGAAUACGUCCAAGUGCUGCCUGCAAUUUGAAGCAAAGGGCUUUGUCAUGUAAUCCACUAUCGUUCCACCACUAGGAAUCCAACCUCCUAAAAACGCAAUCCACUUUCCACUAGGAAUCCAAUCUCUUAAGCAAAACUCAAAACUGCCAUCAUUUUGUUUUAGAAGAUGGAAGCAACUUUAUGUUCAUUUGUUUGUUGGAUACUUGUCAAAAUUCUAAACCCUAGUCUACAUCUUAAUCAUAAGUUUCAAUUUCCCCCUUUUAUCUACUUUUUCUUUCUCAACCUUUCAAACCUUAUAAUUACUUACUGCUGCUACAGUAGCGACAUUGGAGUACAACCCAUACGCCCGUGGGAUUCCUAUGAAUCAUCACUUUGUUUCCUGUGGCCCUCUGCUCCUGUAUCAUUCAUCACCUAUGUUUUUUUGUUUUUGGAGCCCAAAUUGAGAUCCCCACCUAGUUCCCCUUGCUACAGCAUACAAAUUUUUCUUCUUAUGGAUAUCAUCUCAACCAUUUUGUGGUUACUAUGUUUAAAUUGUUCCUCUUGAUAGUAGGAAACAAAUAUAAUGAACAAAAUUAACUUUUCCAUAUAACAAUGGGGCCAUUGACCAAAAACCCAUUAUAGUGG